UGGAUCCAGACUUUGAUCAUGGCUCAGGAUGAACGCUAGCUACAGGCUUAACACAUGCAAGUCGAGGGGCAGCAUGUCGGUUGCUUGCAACCGAUGAUGGCGACCGGCGCACGGGUGAGUAACGCGUAUCCAACCUACCCUUGUCCAUCGGAUAACCCGUCGAAAGGCGGCCUAACACGAUAUGCGGUUCACAGCAGGCAUCUAACGUGAACGAAAUGUGAAGGAGAAGGAUGGGGAUGCGUCUGAUUAGCUUGCUGGCGGGGUAACGGCCCACCAAGGCAACGAUCAGUAGGGGUUCUGAGAGGAAGGUCCCCCACAUUGGAACUGAGACACGGUCCAAACUCCUACGGGAGGCAGCAGUGAGGAAUAUUGGUCAAUGGACGAGAGUCUGAACCAGCCAAGUAGCGUGCAGGAUGACGGCCCUAUGGGUUGUAAACUGCUUUUAUAGGGGGAUAAAGUGUGCCACGUGUGGCAUAUUGCAGGUACCCUAUGAAUAAGGACCGGCUAAUUCCGUGCCAGCAGCCGCGGUAAUACGGAAGGUCCGGGCGUUAUCCGGAUUUAUUGGGUUUAAAGGGAGCGUAGGCCGUCUUAUAAGCGUGUUGUGAAAUGUCGGGGCUCAACCUGGGCAUUGCAGCGCGAACUGUGAGACUUGAGUGCGCAGGAAGUAGGCGGAAUUCGUCGUGUAGCGGUGAAAUGCUUAGAUAUGACGAAGAACUCCGAUUGCGAAGGCAGCCUGCUGUAGCGCAACUGACGCUGAAGCUCGAAAAGCGUGGGUAUCGAACAGGAUUAGAUACCCUGGUAG
rnacentral:rRNA from 1 species